UACGUAGGGUGCGAGCGUUAAUCGGAAUUACUGGGCGUAAAGCGUGCGCAGGCGGUUCGUUAAGUUCGAUGUGAAAUCCCCGGGCUUAACCUGGGAACUGCAGUCGAGACUGUCUAGCUAGAGUAUGGGAGAGGGAAGUGGAAUUUCAGGUGUAGCGGUGAAAUGCGUAGAUAUCUGAAGGAACAUCAGUGGCGAAAGCGACUUCCUGGACCAAUACUGACGCUCAUGUGCGAAAGCGUGGGGAGCAAACAGG
rnacentral:rRNA from 1 species